rnacentral:rRNA from 1 species
AUUGAACGCUGGCGGCAGGCCUAACACAUGCAAGUCGAGCGGAGCGGCGAACGGGUGAGUAAUGCCUAGGAAUCUGCAUGGUAGUGGGGGAUAACGUCCGGAAACGGGCGCUCAUACCGCAUAAUAUCAGAUGAGACUAGGUCGGAUUAGAUAGGUGGUGGGGUAAAGGCCUACAAAGGCGACGAUACGUAACUGGUCUGAGAGGAUGAUCAGUCACACUGGAACUGAGACACGGGCCAGACUCCUACGGGAGGGAGCAGUGGGGAAUAUUGGACAAGGGGCGAAAGCCUGAUCGAGCCCUUCCGCGUGUGUGAAGAAGGUCUUCGGAUUGUAAAGCACUUUAAGUUGGGAAGCGUUACCAACAGAAUAAGCACCGGCUAACUUCGUGCCAGCAGCCGCGGUAAUAC